rnacentral:rRNA from 1 species
GUCGCUACUACUGAUUGGAUGUUCAAGCAAGAACGUUGAAUACUGGCUGUCUAAGCUUCGGCGGUGGCAGCUGGUUGAAGACGAUCGAGCUUGAGUGUCUAGAGGAAGUAA